rnacentral:rRNA from 1 species
UACGAAGGGGGCGAGCGUUGUCCGGAUUUAUUGGGCGUAAAGAGCUCGUAGGCGGCUCGGUAAGUCAGGUGUGAAAACUCUAGGCUCAACCUAGAGACGCCACCUGAUACUGCUGUGGCUAGAGUCCGGUAGGGGAGCAUGGAAUUCCUGGUGUAGCGGUGAAAUGCGCAGAUAUCAGGAGGAACACCAGUGGCGAAGGCGGUGCUCUGGGCCGGAACUGACGCUGAGGAGCGAAAGCGUGGGGAGCAAACCGG